rnacentral:tRNA from 1 species
UCCCUUGUGGCUCAGUUGGUAAAGAAUCCUCCUGUAAUGCGGAAAACCUGGGUUCGAUCCCUGCAUUGGAA